rnacentral:rRNA from 1 species
CGAACGGGUGAGUAAUGCGUGACCAACCUGCCCCAUGCUCCAGAAUAGCUCUUGGAAACGGGUGGUAAAUGCUGGAUGCUCCAACUUGACGCAUGUCUUGUUGGGAAAGUGUUUAGUGGCAUGGGAUGGGGUCGCGUCCUAUCAGCUUGUAGGCGGGGUAAUGGCCCACCUAGGCUUCGACGGGUAGCCGGCCUGAGAGGGCGGACGGCCACAUUGGGACUGAGAUACGGCCCAGACUCCUACGGGAGGCAGCAGGA